UUUAUAACGAAACGUCCUUGUGUUGAUGGAAUGGUAAUUUCUUAGAAUUGCUACGAAACACUCAAAAGGUAAUUGCCUUCCGGUUGGUGGGCAAGCAGAGAGCGUUUGUAUAAUUCACUCGUCGUGUUUGUGUGAAAGGUGUUCUCGUUCUGGUGCAGUGUGCUGAGCACGCAUGCGGCCAAAUCGCUCCAUUGACUUUGAAGUGGUGACUUUAUUGUUGAUUGAGACAAGAACCCACCAUACAGUCCAGGUUGGCCUCAAACUCCAAUCUCUCUGUUUCAGUGUCCAGAGCGCUGGGAUUUUGGGCGGGCAUCGUCACCCCGUGCUGCUGACGACCAGUAUGAUUUUACUUUCCGUUAACCGCUGUUAUUUUUCCUGUGUGAGUGGGUGGGGUAGGCUCGGGUAGGUACACAGGUGCAGACGCCUGAGGACCCUCCAGAGCUGGACAUACCUAUGGCUGUGGCUUUGAGUCGUCCGAUGUGGGUGCUGGGACUUUAACUCAGGUCCCCUGGAACAGCACUCUUCAUUCUUAACUGCCGAGCCAUGUCUGCAGCCCAACACAGCUUUUGAAUGUAUGUGCUGUGUGCCUUACAGUGGCUGCUGUUACGUCUGGCAAGCAGCAAUGCGACAGAAGGAAAGGAUCUCCCAUGGGAAGGUGUGAGCUGAACAAUUACUUAGGCUCUGUCCAUGACCUUGAUUAAAGACCUGUGUACAUUUUUUUGUCUUUUCUUUAAAAACUAUCAGUUAAGCUUUCUCUUUUCUGUUAUAUGUAAAGAUAUGUAUAUGUCCAAGGGAAAAUAUGUAAUUUUCCUUUAGAAUGUGGGGGUGGAAAAAACUAUCCUCCCCCAAGACUAGUUAUAAUUCUUUUCCCACUGCAGCCUGUUUUUCCUUCAAUUACACAAAAUUCAAAAUUAUUUUCAAAUGAUAUGAAAUAACUUGAAUAUGAAUAUGAAUAUGAAUAAAAUUGAAAUAUGAAUAAAAAUGAAAAUAUGAAUAAAUUAUUUUAUACUGAUAGCUAAAAUUUGGGGCUUUAUUCAAUUUUAUAUUUAACCUCCUGACUUUCGUAUUUUAUUAAAAAGGAGUAUUAUGCAUGUUUUCACUCUUUGUUACCCUGACACUGCUAUAAAAAAAAAUAAAAUAAAAUGUGGUU
rnacentral:lncRNA from 1 species